GGCACUGGGCUGGUGGGUCACAGACUUAAGUCCCCGAACCACUUUAUCAGAGGAUGGAUGUUUGACUUGAAAAGAUUAGAUAUUCUGAAAUAAGAUGGAAAAGCUCCAAUUCUUAUUUGAUUUAUUUAUUCCUUUAUGCCUCAUUCAUUCGUUUAUUCAUUCAUUUAUUUUAUAAAUAUUUAUUGGUACUUAUAAAUAAGUACCAGACAGUGUGUUAGGCCAAAGAAUAAAGCAAAAAACAAAACAAGCCUGAACCUGGAUGAAUCCAUGAAAUAAAAUCCAUAUGGCUUGGGAAGUAAAAGUCAUAGAACUUAGUGAUUGUUCAGAUUUUAGAACUUAGGGCAGAGAGAAUCCUAGAAUGUUACACAGGUAUCUCACUUAGGCACAUGAGCCAAUGGCCAUGUUCCUGUUGAGACAGAAGAACACAGAAAAGCAAGAAUUAAGAGUAAAAUAAGGAGUUAUAGUUUGUUCAUAUUUUUGCAGUUAUUCUUCAAAAAGAAGCCUGAUUUUUUAACAUGCUGGGAUCCUGAAAGUUAUCGCCUCCAGCACUAAAGGUCAGAGAGGUGAAGAAAAAGGGAGGCAGAAAAGAUCAUACUGAAUCCAAAAGGAAACAGGAACAGAGCUCCCAGAGCUGAUUCUACCCCCAAAGGUAAUGGAGACAUUCAGCCCACAGUAACCCCACACUGGUACUUCCUACUUUAUAGCUAAGCCAGGCAGAGGUAUGUGGCUGUAAAGGGCAACAUCAAAGGUGGGUCACCCAUUCCAUUUCUAGAUAACCAGGAUUAACUGCUCCACUGACAUUAUCCUGAUAUUAUAGAGUUCCAGAAAGGAGAAAAUAAGGAAUGCACUUAUGCAUUAGUAAAAAAAAAUACUUGCACAACCAUAUUUAAAACAAUGGAAA
rnacentral:lncRNA from 1 species